UCUGUGCUGUGGAGGUAAUAUAU
rnacentral:miRNA from 1 species